rnacentral:rRNA from 1 species
GACGAACGCUGGCGGCGUGCUUAACACAUGCAAGUCGAACGGAAAGGCCCUGCUUUUGUGGGGUGCUCGAGUGGCGAACGGGUGAGUAACACGUGAGUAACCUGCCCUUGACUUUGGGAUAACUUCAGGAAACUGGGGCUAAUACCGGAUAGGAGCUCCUGCUGCAUGGUGGGGGUUGGAAAGUUUCGGCGGUUGGGGAUGGACUCGCGGCUUAUCAGCUUGUUGGUGGGGUAGUGGCUUACCAAGGCUUUGACGGGUAGCCGGCCUGAGAGGGUGACCGGCCACAUUGGGACUGAGACACGGCCCAGACUCCUACGGGAGGCAGCAGUGGGGAAUAUUGCACAAUGGGCGGAAGCCUGAUGCAGCGACGCCGCGUGGGGGAUGACGGCCUUCGGGUUGUAAACUCCUUUCACCAUCGACGAAGGGUUUCUGACGGUAGAUGGAGAAGAAGCACCGGCUAACUACGUG